AAGCCAGCAGCAAGGACAAGCUUUGGAGGGAGCUGGGAGUGCUGAGCUCUGCCUGGUCCAGCCUUGCCUGGACCUCCUGGAGCUGCCUGACACCUCCCAUCCACAGUAGGCAUCCCCCAAAGCCCCUUUUCUGUCCUUCCAGCAGGUUCCUGACCAUAGCACGUUCCCAGACUGAGUCCCCAGUGCUCUCCUGGACCCAGGCCUGGUUCCCAUGGAUGUCUGCAGUCUCCAGAGCUGCCCUGACUUGCUUGCAAAAGGUCUUUGUGCUCCUGCCUGUGCUGGAGGCAAUGCCUGGUGUGGGUACCAGUGGGACAGGUCACGUUUCCGGUGUCAUGUGCUGUCCAUGACGGAUGGCAGAGCCAGUUUUUCUGCUCCAAAAGUGGGACUGGGGAGGAGACCGCAACACUCAAAUAGCCGGAGCCCCGGCUGCUGCCAGCCAGGCAUCCAGGAGGUCACUUCUUUUUCAGCUCCAGGUCCUGUCUGUUCCCUAGGUGUGACUGUCUCGUGCCCCAGAGCUCUUUGGCUUUGCUGA
rnacentral:lncRNA from 1 species